rnacentral:misc_RNA from 1 species
AAUAAUUUUUCUAUGGCCGCGUAUUUCUCUUUAUAUAUUUGCAUAUAUCGGGUGUCUGUUUCUCUCGUCGUCUAAUAUUUUUCCUAAGUAGACGGGACGUGUGCAGGAGAGAGAGGGAUGAAACGACACGCAGGCGCCUUAUCGUUUCACGCGGGUACUCCUUUACGCUCGCCCUUCGCCAAUUAUCACGAAGAGUCGGGGCUACGUUUAGCGAGACAACGACGUUAGACUGAAACAAUUAGGUAUAACCGCAUUAGCAUUACUUGUACGUAAACUUUCCGUCGCGUCUUCCAACAAGAAUGAUGCAGUACCGAGAUAAAAGGCACGGAAACUACGUCUUCGAGCUGAGAGUGGGUCAUUAUGAAAGAAUUCAAUGUUUUCGUACCAUUUGUGAUCGUUUCGUUGGAUGGCCUAGUCCAAUAAGUGAUCGCUGUUGGAUAAGCCUCACUGUGACAUUCCAGGACGAGAGUUUGGCCCUCAUAAGCGCCCACUAACUGGUUUUCAAUCCACACCAUUGGCUGAACUGCAAAGACAAUUUCUGAUAAUAAUUCGUAUAAAAUUUUUCUCGUAUAUUAAAUAUUUUGUUCAGUUACAUUACAUUAGGUCGAUUACAUUAGGGUCGAAAAUGUAAUAAUAGUUUAGAAAUUUAGGAAUAGUAU